AUGAACGCUGGCGGCGUGCCUAAUACAUGCAAGUCGAGCGAACGGACGAGAAGCUUGCUUUUCUGAUGUUAGCGGCGGACGGGUGAGUAACACGUGGAUAACCUACCUAUAAGACUGGGAUAACUUCGGGAAACCGGAGCUAAUACCGGAUAAUAUUUUGAACCGCAUGGUUCAAAAGUGAAAGACGGUCUUGCUGUCACUUAUAGAUGGAUCCGCGCUGCAUUAGCUAGUUGGUAAGGUAACGGCUUACCAAGGCAACGAUGCAUAGCCGACCUGAGAGGGUGAUCGGCCACACUGGAACUGGGACACGGUCCAGACUCCUACGGGAGGCAGCAGUAGGGAAUCUUCCGCAAUGGGCGAAAGCCUGACGGAGCAACGCCGCGUGAGUGAUGAAGGUCUUCGGAUCGUAAAACUCUGUUAUUAGGGAAGAACAUAUGUGUAAGUAACUGUGCACAUCUUGACGGUACCUAAUCAGAAAGCCACGGCUAACUACGUG
rnacentral:rRNA from 1 species